rnacentral:lncRNA from 1 species
ACUGAAUCUGAUGAAUCCAAAACAGAUGGAAGCCAAUCAGUGGCAAUCCAAACAUAGCCACUGGUCAUCAUACCCAGAUUCUUUGCCUUAGAGAAAAAUGAUAGUCCAGUAUAAGGAUUUACAUGAACAAUAUAAACUAGCGCCUCCAUAAGGUUUACACUGGCUAACAAGCAGGAUUUACAUGAACAAUAUAAACUCGUGCCUCCAUAAGGUUUAUGCUGGCUAACAAGUCAUCGAUCUCACUCCUACUAGCUCCAGGAGUUAAGGCUGCUUUAUAAGAUAUCUUGGCCCGCUUCUUUGCAAGGGCAUCACCCAACACAGAUAUCCCAUUUCUACCAUUAUCAUCAUCGACAAAUA